CCCUCUGAGAAAUGGAUCAUUCGGCUCAGGGGUCGAUGAAGAACGCAACCAGGUGCGAGACGAUGUGAACUCCAUGGCACACUGAGCACUGAUUCUACUUCUACAAAAGAGAACAUAGAGAGUAGAUCCACUUUUUGUCAUUAUUUUUUUUUUGUUU
rnacentral:rRNA from 1 species